rnacentral:rRNA from 1 species
CGGAACCGGGCUAAUACCGGAUAACACAUGAAACCGCAUGGUUUCAUGAUGAAAGACGGUUUUGCUGUCACUUAUAGAUGGACCCGCGGCGUAUUAGCUAGUUGGUAAGGUAACGGCUUACCAAGGCAACGAUACGUAGCCGACCUGAGAGGGUGAUCGGCCACACUGGAACUGAGACACGGUCCAG